AGUUCGAUCCUGGCUCAGAUUGAACGCUGGCGGGAUGCUUUACACAUGCAAGUCGAACGGCAACAGCACGGACUUCGGUCUGGUGGCGAGUGGCGAAACGGGUGAGCAAUGUAUCGGAACGUGUCUAGUAGCGGGGAUAACUGCCGCGAAAGCGGUAGCUAAUACCGUAUACGCCCUUCGGGAAAGCGGGGGACCUUUCGGGCCUCGCACUAUUAGAGCGGCCGACAUCGUGGAUUAGCUAGUUGGUGGGUAACGGCUCACUCAAGGCGACGAUCCGUAGCUGGUUUGAGAGGACGACCAGCCACACUGGGACUGAGACACGGCCCAGACUCCUACGGGAGGCAGCAGUGGGAAUUUUGGACAAUGGGGAAACCCCGAUCCAGCCAUCCGCGUGUGCGAUGAAGGCCUUCGGGUUGUAAAGCAAUUUUUGGCAGGAAAGAAACGGUACGGGAUAAUACCCCGUGCAACUGACGGUACCAGCAGACAAGCACCGGAUAACUACGUGCCAGCAGCCGCGGUAAUGGUAAGCAAGCGUUAAUCGGAAUUACUGGGCGCAAAAGCGUGCAGGCGGUUCGGAAAGAAAGAUGUGAAAUCCCAGAGCUUAACUUUGGAACUGCAUUUUUAACUACCGAGCUAGAGUGUGUCAGAGGGAGGUGGAAUUCCGCGUGUAGCAGUGAAAUGCGUAGAUAUGCGGAGGAACACCGAUGGCGAAGGCAGCCUCCUGGGAUAACACUGACGCUCAUGCACGCGAGCGUGGGGAGCAAACAGGAUUAGAUACCCUCUGGUAGUCCACGCCCUAAACGAUGUCAACUAGCUGUUGGGGCCUUCUGGCCUUGGUAGCGCAGCUUGACUGCGUGAAGUUGACCGCCUGGGGAGUACGGUCGGGAGAUUAAAACCAAAGGAAUUGACGGGGACCCGCACAAGCGGUGGAUGAUGUGGAUUAAUCUGAUGCAACGCGAAAACCUUACCUACCCUUGACAUGUCUGGAAUCCUGAAGAGAUUUGGGAGUGCGUCGCAAGAGAACCGGAACACAGGUGCUGCAUGGCUGUCGUCAGCUCGUGUCGAGAUGCUGGGUUAAGUCCCGCAACGAGCGCAACCCUUGUCAUUAGUUGCUACGAAAGGGCACUCUAAUGAGACUGCCGGUGACAAACCGAGGAAGCUGUGAUGACGUCAAGUCCAUGGCCCUUAUGGGUAGGGCUUCACACGUCAUACAAUGGUCGGGACAGAGGGUCGCCAAUCCGCGAGGGGGAGCCAAUCCCAGAAACCCGAUCGUGCAGUCCGAUCGCAGUUCGCAACUGACUGCGCAGUCGGAAUCGCUAGUAAUCGCGGAUCAGCAUGUCGCGGUGAAUACGUUCCCGGGUCUUGUACACACCGCCCGUCACACCAUGGGAGUGGUUUACCAGAAGUAGUUAGCUCAACCGCAAGGAGGGCGAUUACCACGGUAGGAUUCAUGAUCAGGGUGAAGUCGUAACAAGGUAG
rnacentral:rRNA from 1 species